GAUGAACGCUGGCGGCGUGCCUAAUACAUGCAAGUCGAGCGAACGGACGAGAAGCUUGCUUCUCUGAUGUUAGCGGCGGACGGGUGAGUAACACGUGGAUAACCUACCUAUAAGACUGGGAUAACUUCGGGAAACCGGAGCUAAUACCGGAUAAUAUUUUGAACCGCAUGGUUCAAAAGUGAAAGACGGUCUUGCUGUCACUUAUAGAUGGAUCCGCGCUGCAUUAGCUAGUUGGUAAGGUAACGGCUUACCAAGGCAACGACGCAUAGCCGACCUGAGAGGGGGAGCGGCCACGUUGGGACUGAGAUACGGCCCAGACUCCGACGGGAGGCAGCAGUGGGGAAGAGUGCACAAUGGUCGGAAGCCUGAUGCAGCAACGCCGCGUGCGGGAUGACGGCCUUCGGGUGGAAAACCGCGGUCGACUGGGAAGAAGCGGGAGUUAAGGUAAUGGGUAAAGAAGCACCGGAUAACGACGUG
rnacentral:rRNA from 1 species